ensembl:lncRNA
AGGUAGCGUGAAUUCAGGCUACAAAUCUGAGUGCUGACCUCUUUGUGAUGACAAAUUCUCAGCACUUGCAGUCACUGACCACAUGCAAGCUUGGCUGGGAGCCCGACAUCUCACCAGCAUUUCCACAGACCAAACGGCACAUGUGGCAGAGCCUGGAAAACUGCUUGCAAGCUGUGUGACCUUGGGGCUGCUGUGAGCCGUGGCAUAUGAAACACCUGGGCCUAACACAGAGUAAGUGUUCGCUGCACACUGUUAUUUAUAUGGGGAUCUGAAAAUCUCCCAGCCAGGUAGAUAUUGUGACCUCCAUUUCAACAAUGAGGAACCCAAGCCACGCAAAGAUAGAGCACUUUGUGCAGCUCACAGUAGCAAGCGGGAACUCCUACCAAACUGCCUGCUUCCCAUGUCCCUCUGCUCUACUUCCUCUCAUCUUUCAGUGAUUUUGUUUCUGACAUUUCAUGGAUUUUGAAUCAUUCAAGGAUUUCCAGUUUCACCCCACAACGAUGAUGGCACCCCGUGCUUCCCAGGCCUUCGUGAUUUUCAAUGCACACUCCUAUGGGUCAUCCCAAAUUCAAAUCCUGCCAACAGCCCAGCAACACACAGUGUGGGUGAACCAUCUCCCUCAUUUUGCGAACAGGAAAACCAACUCCUAAUGGCAGAGUCACUCAUGAGGCCACAGCAAAAAAAAAAAAAAAAAGAGGCAAAAACCAUCAUCAGAACCCAAAUACUACCUCACAUUCACAUCCCCAAACUCAAUGCCUUCUCUUUUCCCUUCUCCCCCACCGCCAAGAGGUUCUGCAUUCAGCAGGCACUCAGUCAGUGCUCAUUGGAAGCUGCCACUUCCGAAGUGGGUGCUGCUAAGCACGUGUGAUGACCAUCUACAGACAAGAGGAAAAGCCAGGGAGCGUGGGUGGGGGCGAGCUGCAGCCUUAGCUGACUCAGCUCUGGCAAUUCUGUCUGCACCCCACGCUGCCUUUGGGCAUCAGUGAGGGGUUAAUUAUAAGUAUCUAAAAUAUUUUGGAAGAAAGUAUUUCAAAAGCAAAAAAUUUUUUUUCAUGGAACUUCCUCCCAAGAUGGAGAAACCACAAGGCUAAGUUCUUCUUUCCAAAUAAAAGCAUUAAUCCGCUUCUCCAAAUUUGAGCUGUAC